CGUUCCGGACGAGGAGGCAGCGGGUCUCGCCCAGGCCCGGGCCGGGCAUGAUGCGGUGGCAGCAGAAGAGGAGGCUGUAACAGAGGAUUUCCCCAGAUUCCCUAUAUGAGACGGAGUCCACAGGACACAGUCAUCAUCUCUGAAGCAGCUUCGCUGGACGGCCUCUGAAUACUCCUCUGGCACCUCCGUUUUCCAACCAAGCUGUCUGAAAGCUAUGCUCAGAAGAUCAGUGAGAACGAGACAAGCACCCAUUUGAGCCCCAGUAUCCAGUGUGGGGACAAAAACAGCCAUUAUUUUUGCAACUCCACUUCUCCUUCAUCUCCAUCCAUCUCUACAGGAUAAGUGUCAGGUGAAAAAGAGAAGGGCAGCGGAGGAGACAGAAGGGAGCAAGUGGGUAGUGUUGAGUAUCCACUGAAAAUAGCAUGACGACCUUGAGGUGAUAACUUCAGAGACUGCAGAGACGCUGUAUUGCAAUUAAAUAAUAAACAUCACAAGAGCUGGAAGCCCUCACCGGGACAUAGAAGGCAUUAAGGCCUUUUUGUGCAAUCGUAUCAGCUGAAGUUAUCAAGACUAGGAAGCUCAGGAUCAGCCAUCGUCUGCAUUGUACCGACCAGAGGGAGUGCAGCACCUGGGACACGACUCAACCAGAGGCAAAUGGAUCUGAACUGGAUUCCUAUCUGGAAACCAGGAGCAAAGUUGGAAGUUGGACUUGGUAGAGAGUCUUGACUGUCUCUGCAGGAGGAACAAUGCUACUAGGAAAGAAUAGCUGUGGUUUGGUGCACAUGCCUCAAGAGGAUUCGGAACCUGCACACAGCUGCUCUCAGCCAUCACUCAGAUUAGAGAUAUUUGAUUAAUUCUUGAGCCCGGCUUCCACCGAUCAACGGAUCCGCUCCUUCAGCUGCCUUUAGUGGGAGAUAAAUCCAAGAGGAGUUUCAAGGCUUUUCAGUCUGGAUUUCUGUCCCAGGAGACUGCCAAAAAAAAACAAAACACCAUUGUAGGGGCACCUUUGACUGGAUGCUUGCUGUUAUUUCUUGCAUCCCCUAAUGGCAAGCAAUUGCUCUACAGAACACAUUUUCAACCGACUAGACACAUUCAGUUCAAGAACUGGAAAAAGUUUUCUACCCAAUCUGUUCUUGGAUCCUUUAGAGCUCCGGUUUACCCCCCACCCCCUUUGCUCUAACCCAGGCCUGAAAGUAAAUAUUCAAUAGCAAAGAAUUAUGAAGCACCAAGAAGGAAAGCAGAUGAAAAAAAUCAAAUUUUUUAAUGCCUGUGUGCCUGUGCCUAAGGCAGACUAUCAGGUUUUAGAUGGCCAUAGCUGUGUCAUUUGCCCCUUUUUCAAAUGUUUAGUGCUGGUCUGUGUACAUUUGUUUGGUAAGUGCCAUGUUCACAGAAGGGCAAUAAAACUGGUAAUGAUGAAGAA